GACGAACGCUGGCGGCGUGCUUAACACAUGCAAGUCGAACGAAGUGGCGAACGGGUGAGUAACGCGUAAUCAACCUGCCCUUCAGAGGGGGACAACAGUUGGAAAUGACUGCUAAUACCGCAUACUGAAGGAGGGGAUUGCGUCUGAUUGGUUCGUUGGAGGGGUAACGGGCCACCAAGGCGCUGAUCAGUAGCCGGACUGAGGGGAUGAACGGGCAACUGUGGACUUAGACACGGCCCAGACUCCUACGGGGGGCAGCAGUGGGGAAUCUUCCGCAAUGGACGAAAGUCUGACGGAGCAACGCCGCGUGAGGGAUGACGGCCUUCGGGUUGUAAAGCUCUGUUAAUCGGGACGCGGUACCGGAAUAGAAAGCCACGGCUAACUACGUGCCAGCAGCCGCGGUAAUAC
rnacentral:rRNA from 1 species